rnacentral:rRNA from 1 species
UACGUAGGGGGCUAGCGUUGUCCGGAUUUAUUGGGCGUAAAGAGCGUGUAGGCGGCCAGGUAGGUCCGUUGUGAAAACUCGAGGCUCAACCUCGAGACGUCGGCGGAAACCAUCUGGCUAGAGUCCGGAAGAGGAGAGUGGAAUUCCUGGUGUAGCGGUGAAAUGCGCAGAUAUCAGGAAGAACACCCGUGGCGAAGGCGGCUCUCUGGGACGGUACUGACGCUGAGACGCGAAAGCGUGGGGAGCGAACCGG